rnacentral:rRNA from 1 species
UACGUAGGGUGCAAGCGUUGUCCGGAAUUAUUGGGCGUAAAGGGCUCGUAGGCGGUUUGUCGCGUCGGGAGUGAAAACACACAGCUUAACUGUGUGCUUGCUUCCGAUACGGGCAGACUAGAGGUAUGCAGGGGAGAACGGAAUUCCUGGUGUAGCGGUGAAAUGCGCAGAUAUCAGGAGGAACACCGGUGGCGAAGGCGGUUCUCUGGGCAUUACCUGACGCUGAGGAGCGAAAAGUGUGGGGAGCGAACAGG